CUUCAGCCAUCACCAUGUUUGAUCUUGUCAGAAACAUUUCUGUCAAAAAAUGUGGACAUGUGAUGGACACAAGAGUCACAAGUCUAUCUUUCUGUGUACUCUGUCCAUUGUGGUGAGCAGGACAACAGUAUGAAUUUAUAUUAGCUAAUGGUUUUCAAUUCUGCAUAAUUCUAAAUAAUUUCUUUUGGUCGUUUUGCUCGUGGUCACCACUCUGGAAGCUCUACCUGGUGCACCUCCAGAUGUGCAAGAAGACGGGAGCAAGGGCUGCCUUUGAACCCCGGAUCUUCUAGCUGACUUUCAUUGCUAUCAGCUCUCCUGUACCCUCAGGAUGGGGCUGCAGCUUGCAUGUGACAGACCUCCAGAGCUAUCUAUGGCUGAAAGGGUUGAAGUCCAUUUCGAGGUUCCACAUUGAGACAAAAGUCACAAACAUGACUUGAACAGUCUGAUGGUCUGAGGGACAAAGGAGUUUUUCAGUCUGUUGGUCCUGCAUUUGGGAAGGAGCAGGCUGUGGCAGAAGAGGCUCCUCUGGUUGCUGAUGACGGUGUGCAGAGGGUGACUGGCAUCGUCCAUAAUGUCCAGCAGUUUGUCCAUUGUUCUCUACCACCGUCACCAGAGAGUCCAGCUUCAUGCCAACCACAGAGCCAGCCUGCCUGAUCAGUUUGUCCAGCCUGGAUGUGUCCUUUGAUGUGCUGCCCCCACAGCACACCAUGGCGUAAAAGAGGACGCUGGCUAUAGACUGGAAGAACAUCCACAGGAGUUUUCUGCAGAUGUUAAACAACCGCAACCUCCUCAGGUACAGGAAGGGACAGCCUUCUCUGCCCCUUCCAGUACAGGUGGUUGAUGUGGGUUGUCCAGUUUGCUGUCCAGCCACAGCUCGGGGUACUUGUAGGAAUCCACAGCCUCCACCUCAGCUCCCUGGAUCAGAACUGGUCAUGGACUUGGUUUGGACUUCCCAAAGUCAAUAACCAGCUCCUUUGUCUUUGAGGUGUUGAGCUAUAGAUGGUUUGUGUGGCACCAGGCAGCAAAGUCUUUCACUCGGCUCCUGUACUCCUCCAACCUGUCAUCAAUAAUGCAUCCAACAAUGGGUGUGUCAUCUGUGAACGUCUGAACGUGACACAGCUCAGUGUGACAAACUACAAAUGUAGCAUUAGACACCAUUAUUUUUUUGCACUAAAACAUGUUUUUGUGUCUCUUUCUCUCUCUCUCACACACACACACACACACACACACACACACACACACACACACACACACACACACACACACACACACACACACACACACACACACACACACACACACACACCACCACCAGCACAAAAAGGUAAAAACAGAAAGAAAGAAAACACAAUUUUCUCACACAUGCUAAUUACAUUUGUAAAUAAACUGCCUAUGUCAUCAACCUCCUUCUUUUGCCCCCCACCCCCUGAAUGCCUUGUGACGCAUAGAGGCAACAAUGAAUCCUGAGGUGCAGGACGACACCGUUUGCUCAGAUUCAGCCAAACACUGACUGUGCAGAUGGAGAAUGAAACAAGGAGGCAGAACAAAAGUCUGGCAAAGCAUGUCAAGGGAAUAAACUCAGCCAUUUGGUGAUGUUCAUGCGAGCAAUAGUAACAAAAAUCCUUACAUUUUUAUAGUAAUUCUCUUUAUUUUCUCCAAUUGCUUUUGGCCUUGAUUCCUGAAUAUUUAAUGUGAUAUUUUUGACGAACCCUUUGACUGAAAGCUGAAAGUCUACACUUCGGUACGAUCUUAAUUUGGUUUUGGUGUCAUUUCAACUGCAUUUUGGUUUAGAAGGAAACUUUACAUACCCAACUA